GAUGAACGCUGGCGGCGUGCCUAAUACAUGCAAGUCGAGCGAACAGACGAGGAGCUUGCUCCUCUGACGUUAGCGGCGGACGGGUGAGUAACACGUGGAUAACCUACCUAUAAGACUGGGAUAACUUCGGGAAACCGGAUCUACUACCGGAUAAUAUAUUGAACCGCAUGGUUCAAUAGUGAAAGACGGUUUUGCUGUCACUUAUAGAUGGAUCCGCGCCGCAUUAGCUAGUUGGUAAGGUAACGGCUUACCAAGGCAACGAUGCGUAGCCGACCUGAGAGGGUGAUCGGCCACACUGGAACUGAGACACGGUCCAGACUCCUACGGGAGGCAGCAGUAGGGAAUCUUCCGCAAUGGGCGAAAGCCUGACGGAGCCACGCCGCGUGAGUGAUGAAGGUCUUCGGAUCGUAAAACUCUGUUAUUAGGGAAGAACAAAUGUGUAAGUAACUAUGCACGUCUUGACGGUACCUAAUCAGAAAGCCACGGCUAACUACGUG
rnacentral:rRNA from 1 species